CUACGGGGUGCAGCAGUGGGGAAUAUUGGACAAUGGGGGAAACCCUGAUCCAGCAAUGCCGCGUGUGUGAAGAAGGCCUGCGGGUUGUAAAGCACUUUCGGUUGGGAGGACUGCUUCUAGCACUAAUAUUGUUGGAAGUUGACGUUACCUUCAGAAGAAGCACCGGGUAACUCCGUGCCAGCAGCCGCGGUAAUACGGAGGGUGCAAGCGUUAAUCGGAAUUACUGGGCGUAAAGCGCGCGUAGGCGGCUAGAUCAGUCGGGUGUGAAAGCCCCGGGCUUAACCUGGGAACUGCAUCCGAUACUGUCUAGCUUGAGUACAGGAGAGGAGAGUGGAAUUCCACAUGUAGCGGUGAAAUGCGUAGAUAUGUGGAGGAACACCAAUGGCGAAGGCAGCUCUCUGGCCUGAUACUGACGCUGAGGUGCGAAAGCGUGGGGAGCAAACAGAAUUAGAUACCCGGGUAGUC
rnacentral:rRNA from 1 species